UACGAAGGGGGCUAGCGUUGCUCGGAAUCACUGGGCGUAAAGCGCACGUAGGCGGACUCUUAAGUCGGGGGUGAAAUCCUGGAGCUCAACUCCAGAACUGCCUUCGAUACUGGGAGUCUUGAGUUCGGGAGAGGUGAGUGGAACUGCGAGUGUAGAGGUGAAAUUCGUAGAUAUUCGCAAGAACACCAGUGGCGAAGGCGGCUCACUGGUCCGGUACUGACGCUGAGGUGCGAAAGCGUGGGGAGCAAACAGG
rnacentral:rRNA from 1 species